AGUCCAGUUAUAGGGUGAGGAGAAGAAAGUUCUCCUCAUUGCAAACCAUUUAAGGUUGUAGAGGUGGGGCAAAUUGUGUUUGAGGAAGGGCAACUAUUCGUGGAUGUGAAUGAGUUCAGGAAUGCAUUAAGAGUAAUAUUAUGCUGUCCAGGGUGGCUAUGAACUUAAGAGGGAUAGGAAUGAAUCUAAGAGAGUGAUUGCC
rnacentral:lncRNA from 1 species